UGGACCACUGAUGAUGACUGGAGGCAUAGGAGUUAUAUAUGGUGAAUACCAUGUAAAAUCUAUCCAU
ensembl:snoRNA